rnacentral:misc_RNA from 1 species
GAUGAAGAACGUAGCGAAAUGCGAUAAGUAAUGUGAAUUCCAGAAUUCAGUGAAUCAUCGAAUCUUUGAACGCACCUUGCACCCUUUGGCAUUCUGAAGGGUAUGCUCGUUUGAGUGUCAUUGUACUCUCACACUCCCGAUCUUUGCAUUGGGAGCAGUGGACUUGGGUUUGCUGCUUCACCGUCGCUUACCUCAAAUAGGUUAGUGCAACUCUUGGUUGGACAUAGUACGGCGUGAUAAGUGUUCUUCGCCGGUGCCUCGCAAAGAGGGUGGCCGAUCGGGAUGUUGUGCUCCAAACCGUCUUCGGACAAUCUCUGACGACUUGACCUCAAAUCGAGUAAGACUACCCGCUGAACUUAAGCAUAUCAAUAAGCGGAGGA